rnacentral:rRNA from 1 species
AACGCGAAGAACCUUACCUGGUCUUGACAUGUACGGAAUCCUCCAGAGACGGAGGAGUGCCUUCGGGAGCCGUAACACAGAUGCUGCAUGGCUGUCGUCAGCUCGUGUCGUGAGAUGUUGGGUUAAGUCCCGCAACGAGCGCAACCCUUGUCAUUAGUUGCCAUCAUUUAGUUGGGCACUCUAAUGAGACUGCCGGUGACAAGCCGGAAGAAGGUGGGGAUGACGUCAAGUCCUCAUGGCCCUUAUGACCAGGGCUUCACACGUCAUACAAUGGUCGGUACAGAGGGUAGCCAAGCCGCGAGGUGGAGCCAAUCUCACAAAACCGAUGUAGUCCGGAUUGCACUCUGCAACUCGAGUGCAUGAAGUCGGAAUCGCUAGUAAUCGCAGUCAGC